rnacentral:rRNA from 1 species
CCUACGGGUGGCAGCAGUAGGGAAUAUUGCUCAAUGGGGGAAACCCUGAAGCAGCAACGCCGCGUGGAGGAUGAAGGUUUUCGGAUUGUAAACUCCUUUUGUUAGAGAAGAUAAUGACGGUAUGUAACGAAUAAGCACCGGCUAACUCCGUGCCAGCAGCCGCGGUAAUACGGCGGGUGCAAGCGUUACUCGGAAUCACUGGGCGUAAAGAGCGCGUAGGCGGGAUAGCAAGUCAGAUGUGAAAUCCUAUGGCUUAACCAUAGAACUGCAGUUGAAACUGUUAUGCUAGAGUAUGGGAGAGGUAGGUGGAAUUCUUGGUGUAGGGGUAAAAUGCGUAGAGAUCAAGAAGAAUACUCAUUGCGAAGGCGACCUGCUAGAACAUAACUGACGCUGAUGCGCGAAAGCGUGGGGAGCAAACAGGAUUAGAUACCCGGGUAGUC